rnacentral:rRNA from 1 species
CUGCAGCCGCGCUCUACUGAUGCGCUCAACGAGUUUAUGCCCUUGCCCGAAAGGGUUGGGUAAUCUUCUUAACACGCAUCGUGAUGGGGAUAGAUUAUUGUAAUUAUUAAUCUUCAACGAGGAAUUCCUAGUAAGCGCGAGUCAUCAGCUCGUGCUGAUUACCCCCCUGCCCUUUGUACACACCGCCCGU